rnacentral:rRNA from 1 species
AACGAACGCUGGCGGCAUGCCUAACACAUGCAAGUCGAACGAAGGCUUCGGCCUUAGUGGCGCACGGGUGCGUAACGCGUGGGAAUCUGCCCCUUGGUUCGGAAUAACAGUUGGAAACGACUGCUAAUACCGGAUGACGACGUAAGUCCAAAGAUUUAUCGCCGAGGGAUGAGCCCGCGUAGGAUUAGCUAGUUGGUGGGGUAAAGGCCUACCAAGGCGACGAUCCUUAGCUGGUCUGAGAGGAUGAUCAGCCACACUGGGACUGAGACACGGCCCAGACUCCUACGGGAGGCAGCAGUGGGGAAUAUUGGACAAUGGGCGAAAGCCUGAUCCAGCAAUGCCGCGUGAGUGAUGAAGGCCUUAGGGUUGUAAAGCUCUUUUACCCGGGAUGAUAAUGACAGUACCGGGAGAAUAAGCCCCGGCUAACUCCGUGCCAGCCGCCGCCGUAACAC